GAUGAACGCUAGCUACAGGCUUCACACAUGCAAGUCGAGGGACCGGCGCACGGGUGAGUAACGCGUAUCCAACCUACCCAUUACUGUGGGAUAACCUGCCGAAAGGCAGACUAAUACCGCAUAGUAAUGGAUGGGGAUGCGUCUGAUUAGCUUGUUGGCGGGGUAACGGCCCACCAAGGCAACGAUCAGUAGGGGUUCUGAGAGGAAGGUCACCCACAUUGGAACUGAGACACGGUCCAAACUCCUACGGGAGGCAGCAGUGAGGAAUAUUGGUCAAUGGGCGCGAGCCUGAACCAGCCAAGUAGCGUGCAGGAUGACGGCCUAGGGUUGUAAAGUACUUUCAGUCGGGAGGCGUUACCGACAGAAGAAGCACCGGCUAACUCCGUGCCAGCAGCCGCGGUAAUAC
rnacentral:rRNA from 1 species